UCAAUCCAGUCGUGGAUGUUACCGAUGUGAUGUAGUUUGCGGAGCACGAGACUGAUUGGUAAUCAGCGGAACAAUAAGAAUAAAUGAAUUGAAGGAGAAAUUUUCUGAGCACUAUGCUUACAUGAUAAAAGCAUAGGAAUCAGGAAUCGGCCUUCCCAAAAGCAAGAAUAAUCAUGGCAAUAACAAGAAAUCGUUCUAUCAACCAAUGUUAGUAACCCUGAUGGAACCCACGUGUCCCAGGAAAUGACGACACACUCAAUCAGGGGAUUUUUCAAUACCGUGAGGCAGCCUGAUAGAACACAUAUGGAUCUACCUGAGGCAUUCCGAGAAACAAUGUUAAUUUGAAUGUGGCAAUGACUAAUGUUGGUGACCUCCAUGGAGUACACCUGCAGCAGAAGGAGGACAUAAAAAUAUUCAUCCUUAACAAAGGCAGACAUCCUCAGCAGAGAUGAUGAGACAAAGGAGCUAUACGCGACUUCCUUACGUCAACCCAGGUGUUCUAAGGUGGCCCCCAUCGUAAGCACACCAUCGUUGGAGGGAAUGGGAUGACCAUAUAAACUACAGAGGAUGCCUGCAAUUUCCAAGUAUCGAAAAUCUCACGUUGACCUCUCAUCCGAAGUAGUUAAUUAAAAAUAACCGUCAGCAACCACACGUUUUGGCAGCUGAAAUGACCUAUCGCACACCUAAAAGAUGUAUAAAAAGAGGGCUGAAAUCAAGGCUGCAUCGAUUAUCUGAUCAGUUUAUCCAGUGUUACUUUGCUGCUACAACUAAACACUUCUGCUGCUUUCUCAUCAUCGCGAUUUCGUUACGAUUCUGCAGUAUCCAGCUGGAAUCUUUUCUGUGCGAAGUUUCGCUGACCUAGAAAAAAAUCACGCAGUACCCAGCCGGCAUUCGAACCCGUGUCUCCUAGUUACGCGGCGGGCACUCUCCCAGUUAAGCUACCGAGGAUAACGGAAAUUCUGGUAUUCAGAAGUAUACCAGUGAACGAUUGAAAUCCUUAAUUUGGAGUCCACGGGCCCUGAGUCUGCCCAAUACUUCUGAUCUGCGAGACCAUCAACAAAUAGUCAGACAGGCGCCGUUCUAUUCUCACCUGUCGUGCCGAUAGUCUAUGGUGUUUGCACGGUCGUAAACUCUUGCGGGAAGACCGAAACACCAGCACUCAUCCACUGAGUCGAGUAGUCUACCGUGUAUCCAUGGUCAUUAAUUUCUCCAGGAAGGCCGAUUGCCAGUAAAUAUCCCAUUACACCACGACUCCAAACGUCAACCCCUUUACGGUCUGUUAACCUCAACGAUAAUCGUACGUCAUACUGAAAC